rnacentral:lncRNA from 1 species
UCCCGGCCUUCGAAGUGCACUCACCUGUCAGUGGACCUUUAGGUGGCUUCCAGAUCUUGGCUCUGCCCCGCGGCGGCAGAUGGCACUCGUUCUGCCG